rnacentral:rRNA from 1 species
CCCUUAGAUGCUCUGGGCCGCACGCGCGCUACACUGGUCGAUGCAACGAGUUUCUUUCCUUGGCCGACAGGCCUGGGCAACCUUUGAACGCCAGUCGUGCUGGGGAUAGAUUCUUGCAAUUAUUAAUCUUCAACGAGGAAUUCCUAGUAAACGCAAGUCAUCAGCUUGCAUUGAUUACGUCCCUGCCCUUUGUACACACCGCCCGUCGCACCUACCGAUUGAAUGGUCCGGUGAAAUCCUCGGAUCGAGCCGUGGGGCAACUCCGGUUCGAGAAGUUGAUUAAACCUUACCAUUUAGAGGAAGGUGAAGUCGUAACA